AGUUGUUCAUAUUUAGCUCUAUUUGUUACUAAUGUCGUUGAAGGUAAGGAACGUGCACCAUUUCAUUAAGGUUUGUUCCUUCAUUGGGAGGAUACUCAUCCUUUUUGAGUUUUGGUGCCAUGACAAACUAAUCACGAAUCAUGGUUGAUAAGCACUAAUAUAUCCUCUUAAACAUGAAUCUAUGUUAGUGUCAUCACUAAGGAAACUUGACUCCUCUCCCGCCGAAAUCUUGUGGUAGUAUGACUUUACUGAAAAUGCACAUCACUUCGUGCCACCUACAUCCACGAGUCGCCGAAAUCUUGUGGUAGCAUGACUUUACCGAAGAUGCGCAUCACUUCGUGCCACCCACCUCCACGGGUCCUCACCGUUGAGAGUGGCACUCUGUAAAAUUUCCUUCAACCUUUGAAAUCCAUCCAUCUCCCACUCAUGUAAAUUCCAGACAGUGAAAUUCCCCCUCUUUUACCACCCGAAUCUGUUGUACCAUCGUCUCUUUCUGGCACGAAACUCUAAAUAAGUUGGGGAAUGUCGUUCUCAUAUACUCUUUCCGCAGUCCGCACCACGGUUGAUCUUAAAAACUGACUAUACUUCCAUUCCCUACUGUAUAAGUAACUAAGCCAUUGAAAUCUUCCUAACCCUUCAUAGUACUUCUCUACGUUUCUAGACCUCCAUUCCCCUUCCACGACUCCAUAUUUUCCUGCUAUCACCUCCCUCCAUAAUGCCUGCUCUUCAACCCUGAAUCUCCAUAACCACUUCCCAAGAAGUGCCUUGAUCAAAAAGGAUUUUCAUUCCAAGCCCUCCCAUAUCACCUUAACUUUUACCCUUUC
rnacentral:lncRNA from 1 species